rnacentral:lncRNA from 1 species
AAACAAAACUUUAUUAAUAGUGGAUACUUUGUAUAUAGUCAUGUUUAGCCACAUGUGAGAUAACGAUAAUUACAUAAGGAAACAAGAUAUAGACACAACAACAAAAUUUAUUAUUGAGAAAGAAAACAUAAAGUGCAAGCAGUGGUAGGUUACAAUUGGGUUCUUCCAAGAUUGGCUUGUCUGGAGUUGAAUUACUGUCAUCGUUUUUUUUUGGAAAUGAAGACAUUGUUUUCAAAAAUAUUACCAUUACCGUUUCCCUGAAACCUUCCACAAUUGGAGACCCCUCUUGCAUUUUUGGGGGUGGCACGAGGUACUGGUAUGGAAACACUAUCACUGUCUUCACUGUCAGACUGCCAAAACCCUUUACCCCUCCGUUUAUUAUGGCAAUGAGGGCACAUGGUAGGCUUCCAAGUCCCAGUUUUAUAGACUUCAUCAAACAUGUAAAGUAAUGCAGAGACAGGAUGCUUCUCAAGGCCCUCCACUGUUAUGUCAAAUUUCCCAUUGGAUACUCCAAUCUUUGCCACCACAGAAAGCCCAAUAUCUGUUCCUCUUGACAUGUGUAAACUUGUUCCGCUACUCUUAACAAAGUAGUGUGCCACAGUCACCACCGCGGCCUCUUUCUCCCUUCUGUUUUUCUUUGACUCCACAACAAUAAGACCCCAUCUGCUUCCACUCCCAUACAAUUUAACUGUUGUAUCCACAACAUCACCCCAUGCAACACACUUGUUUUUCUUUGUCGAUAUAUCGCACCCAGAGAACGAAAACAUCAAAGUUUCUAUCCUCAUAUAAUUGGUAUCAGUGAUUUCCAUAUCAAUCUCCGAACAAGUGAACAUAGAUACACGGUCUUGGACGAAAAACUGUACUUUUCGGGAUUGCUAUGUUGAUCAACACCAUAUCUUGUGAAGGAUACCUGACAAGUUUCCUUAUCUACUGUGUAUACCACCUUAAAUGUCUCAUUGACCACUCCCGCAUCGUCUUUCUCACUCAAAUCUCUUGACAAGUCGAUGGAAGUGGAGGCUCCGAGCUGUAGAUGGCAAGGAAUUGGAGCAGUUCCAAUAUAAGUAUCGAGAACAACACUAAGACUGUUUCCCAUCUUGUUAUUUUAUAGGAAAUAGAAUGGAAGGAAUAGAAUGGAUUAGUAGUUUAAGGGUUCAGACUUCAAUGGAAGGAUGUUCACAUGCCAAUGUUAUUUAUAGAGAGAUGCACACAUUACAAUACAGUAUAAUCUUUGCCCUAGUAAGCGUUAUUCUUACGCACAUUCAUUCAUUCCAUCACAAUCACUGUGGCAUCUAAUUCUAUUGCUUCUCGAAUGCUUUUCAAUGUGUUCCCUCAUUCCCUAUAUUCACCAUCUUUUUUUAUUUCACUCUCCCUUCUAACUAAACUCCUCAAAUGUGCUAAUGUUGGAUUCUUUUGCCUUAUACCUCGUUCAUAUUGCUGUGGUUGUUAAUGGGUAUUUUUUAUCGUGUGCUUGUCUGGGGAAUUUGGCCACUUUAGUAUAUGCAAUGCAAUGCAACCUGUGUUGGUCAUACUUGCUUCUAUGAUGAUGUGAUUGGGAAAAUUUAGUUAUGAUUCUUUUUGGUCAUGACAAUUCUGAUUGGCUUUUGGGUUUUGAGACCAUCUUUGGAGCAUUUACUUGCUGUCUGUGGCAUGGAUUAGGAAAAGAUGGGGAGGGUAUUUUAGGAAAUCAAUUCAAUUGUGUGCAAGUGUGUGUGGAUUUGCAAAUUAUUUAGGGAAUGUUUUUUUCCAUGUAAAAUAGCUAUAGUAAUUUCCACUUUGUUAAACUUUAUUUUGUCUGCGUUCACUUCUACGUUGCUUUUCUUUUCUCUUACUUUAUUCUUCUGUAUUUUACUACCAAAUCAGUCUUUUAUUCUCACAUAUCAAUUAUAUAAUAUAAUUCUGAUACAGACCAACACAGAAAAUAAGAGAAAGGAGGUAAACGUGGUAUAUUAUUGAUACUGAAAAAGGGAAAAUACAAUAGGAGGCUACUGUCCAGAGCUAUGCUCCUAUAGAGAAUUAGCAUUCUCCAUUCUGCAAAACUGCAAUAUUCUUUUCUCCCCCCAUUCUCAUGCUAGGCUGUGCCUAUAAGGGUACACGCCUCACACACCCACAAACCCGUAACUAACUAUCACCCAACCUUUUCUUUCUCUCUCUCUCUGCCACCUCAUCAUGCUCUGUUAGCCUUUUCAAUUCUGUUUCUCCUAGUGUACACACGCCAUAUUCUAGGCCUAUGUAAACCUGGAUCAGCUUGAACAUUCUUUUGGGCCCAUGAAUCAUUUUGGGUUCUAUCAAAUUCUCUAUCAUAUGCAAACAGAAUGAGGUUUGGAGAGGUAUGUGGGCAUCUAAAAUAAGGUGUAUUUGGGAACAAAGAAACUGUGUUGUCUUUAAGCAAGGUGUAGCUGAUUCAGAGAAAAUCUUUCAUUUGGCACAACUUAUAAUGUGGUUAUGGGUGAAACAUAGCGUGCAAUCAUUCAACUAUUCUUUUUUGGAUUGGGUGUUAAAUCCUAUUCUUUGUAUCAAACGGUGUGGAUGUGGACGUCUGGAAGCUAGGGGUCUAAUGCUAGGUGCACAAAGUUCAUUUGGAUGGAGCAUACCAUUUGCAUCUGGUAGUGCAAUUUGUGCAGCAUCCUGUGGCAAUGAGCUGCUGGUAGUGUUACUAGUUUUUGAUAAUGGUUGUUUCCAAGGUAGUGGUACUAGUUUUUGGGAAGAUCUUCAUAGCUAUGGUUUUUUACAAUUUAAAAUACACCUGGUGAAGUAAUAGAAGUGGUGUAAGGAGGCAGCUUGUAUAGGAAUUGAAUUGGUAUGUACAAGGACUAGUGCUCUUGAAGUUGUAGGAGGUAAAACAAAAUUGGGAAUGCUGGUUUGGUGUGGAUGACGGUUUGGGAUGGUAUGCAGGAGAUAAACCAGCAUCGUAUGAUAUGAUGACUAGGUGAGAUUGUUGGUUUGAUGUGGAAGCUGGUGUUGAAUGCUGGAUGCUGGUUUGUAGGUUAAAGGUGCUCUAAGGCCAAAAACUUCGUUUUACAAGCAAUGCUUAAGCCAAUGCAGGGGAAUUUAACAACUCCUAUGAAGCCCAACUAUACCAGAAGCAUACAAAGUAGAUGCAAGUGCAACCUAACUUUUUUGUUUGCUGAAUUUUAGCAAGAAGAAGAUGAUCAUGUUGGCAGUUAUGGCAGCAGUUUUUGAAGUCUAAAUUGUGUAACUAUACAGGUGAUUAAUGGCCAAAGGAACUGUUAGGAAAGAGAGAUGCAGAUUCGCUAGAAUAUGUGGCAUAAAUUAUAUGGGAACAUCAAAUAUGUUUUCAGCACUCACAAUCACAUAUUGAUGAGUCUAGUUUUCAGUCACCUUCAUGUUUCAUAAGUUGAUCAUCAUCAUCACAUGCCAUUACAACUUUAAUAUGUUUUCAUCGCAACCACAACAUCUUUUAGACACAUCAAAUAAUUUUGCGACAUAUACCACAACCAUCCACAUACAAUCCACUAUUUUGUUGGAAUCACGACUUAAGUACCCUUUUUUUUUAACUCAUUUUGAUAAAUCUAAAAUAAAAUCAUACCAUUUACUUCAAAAAAAAACGAUCCAACAUUGUAUACUAACAAAAAGGAAACACAACUUUAUUUUCCUUCUUCCAAGAUUUACAUGUCUUGAGUUGAAUAACUCUUACCAUCUUUUUUUAAUCAACAUAACAUUGUUUUCAUAAAUAUUACCAUUACCGUUUCCCCGGAACCAUCCACCAUUGGAUACCCCUCUUGCAUAUUUGGGGGUGGCACGAGGUACUGGUAUGGAAACACUAUCACUGUCUUCACUGUCAGACUGCCAAAACACUUUACCCUUCCGUUUAUGAUCGCAAUGAGGGCACAUGGUAGGCUUUCAAGUCCCAGUUUUAUAGACUUGAUCAAACAUAUAAAGUAAUGCAGAGACAGGAUACUGCUCAGGGCCCUCCACUGUUGUAUCAAUUUUUCCAUUGAAUAAUCUACACUUUGCCACCAGAGAAAGCCCAAUAUCUGUUCCAGUUGAUCUGUCAAAACUUGUUCCGCUGCUCUUGACAAAGUAGUGCGCCACAGUCACCACCGAGGACCCCACCUCCCUCUCUUUUUCUUUGACUCCUUAACAAGAAGACCGCUUCUGCCUCCACUCCCAUACAACUGAACUUCUGUAUCCACAACACCACCCCAUGCAUCAAAACUCUCGUUAUUCUUUGCCCAUGUUUUGAAAUCAGGUAUCAACAACCUGAAACUCUUCAUCCAAAUAUAAUUGGUCUCAUCGAACCCAAUAGAAUACCACGAAUAGAAAUCAAAAGAUAUACGGUCUUGGACGAAAAAUCGUAUUUCUUUGGCCUUGCUAUGUUGAUCAACACCAUAUCUUGUGAAGGAUACCUCACAAGUUUCCUUAUCUACUGUGUAUACCACCUUAAAGGUCUCCUUCACCGCAUCGUCUUUCUCAAAAUCUUUGGACAAGUCGAUGGAAGUGGAUGGUCCCAGCUGUAGAUGGCAGGGAAUUGGAGCAGAUCCAAUAUAAUUAUCGAGAACAACAUCAAGACUGCUUCCCAUCUUGUUAUUUUAUAGGAAAUAGAAUGGAAGGAAUGGAAUGGAUUAGUAGUUUAAGGGUUGAUACUUGAAUGGAAGGAUGUUCACAUGCCAAUGUUAUAUAUAGAGAUGCACACAUUACAUUACAGUAUAAUCUUUGCCCUAGUAAGCGUUAUUCUUACGCACAUUCAUUCUUUCAAUCACAGUCACUGUGGCAUCUAAUUCUCCAUCAUGCAUUACCUUUUACUGUUAAAUAUUCUCCAAUCUUCAACCUCUUUGAUUCUUCAUUCUUCCACUAAUUCAAUUCUUU